UGGCGGACGGGUGAGUAACGCGUGGGUAACCUGCCUCAUACAGGGGGAUAACAGUUAGAAAUGACUGCUAAUACCGCAUAAGACCACAGUACCGCAUGGUACAGGGGUAAAAACUCCGGUGGUAUGAGAUGGACCCGCGUCUGAUUAGGUAGUUGGUGGGGUAACGGCCCACCAAGCCGACGAUCAGUAGCCGACCUGAGAGGGUGACCGGCCACAUUGGGACUGAGACACGGCCCAA
rnacentral:rRNA from 1 species